GACAGAGGGUGCAAACGUUGCUCGGAAUCACUGGGCGUAAAGGGCGUGUAGGCGGGAGAGAAAGUCGGGCGUGAAAUCCCUAGGCUCAACCUAGGAACUGCACUCGAAACUUCCCUUCUUGAGUGCCGGAGAGGAAAGCGGAAUACCUGGUGUAGAGGUGAAAUUCGUAGAUAUCAGGUGGAACACCAGUGGCGAAGGCGGCUUUCUGGACGGUAACUGACGCUGAGACGCGAAAGCGUGGGGAGCAAACAGG
rnacentral:rRNA from 1 species